rnacentral:rRNA from 1 species
UAAGCAUAUAAAUAAGCGGAGGAAAAGAAACUAACUAGGAUUGGUCCAGUAACGGCGAGUGAAGCGCCAACAGCCCAGGCUGUGAAUCGGCACUUGUGUCGAAUUGUGGAAUGCCGGUCAGUUUGUGCAACUUUUGGACCAAGUCCCCUGGAAUGGGGCAGCACAGAGGGUGAGACUCCCGUAGGUCUGGAGGUGGGAAAAUUGUCCAAAGAGUCGAGUUGUUUGGGAUUGCAGCUCAAAGUGGGUGGUAAAUUCCAUCCAAGGCUAAAUACUGGUGAGAGACCGAUAGCAUACAAGUACCGUGAGGGAAAGAUGCAAAGCCGCGCGAGAGCGCUGUCAAAGAGUACCUGAAAUUGCUGAAAAGGAAGCGAAGGAAACCAGUGGUAGCCAUCCCGCACUUCCCUGAUUGCUUGCAGUUGGGGCGCUGCGGCUGGUGUUGUCCGUUGGGCUCGGGUCGGAGCGGAAGAUAAUGACGCUUUGAUGUGCGCCUUUGGACGAAAUGGUUUUCUUUUUCCCGUCUUGAAACAC